UACAGAGGGUGCGAGCGUUGUCCGGAAUCACUGGGCGUAAAGGGCGCGUAGGCGGCCUGCUAAGUAGAGGGUGAAAUCCUGCGGCUCAACCGCAGGGCUGCCUUCUAAACUGUCAGGCUGGAGCACGGUAGAGGCAGAUGGAAUUCCCGGUGUAGCGGUGGAAUGCGUAGAGAUCCGGAAGAACACCGGUGGCGAAGGCGGCCUGCUGGGCAGUAGCUGACGCUGAUGCGCGACAGCGUGGGGAGCAAACAGG
rnacentral:rRNA from 1 species